rnacentral:rRNA from 1 species
GAUGAACGCUGGCGGCGUGCUUAACACAUGCAAGUCGAACGGUGAAGGCGGAGCUUGCUCUGCUGGAUCAGUGGCGAACGGGUGAGUAACACGUGAGCAAUCUGCCCCUGACUCUGGGAUAAGCGCUGGAAACGGCGGCUAAUACUGGAUACGAGCUGCGAAGGCAUCUUCAGCAGCUGGAAAGAACUUCGGUCAGGGAUGAGCUCGCGGCCUAUCAGCUUGUUGGUGAGGUAACGGCUCACCAAGGCGUCGACGGGUAGCCGGCCUGAGAGGGUGACCGGCCACACUGGGACUGAGAGACGGCCCAGACUCCUACGGGAGGCAGCAGUGGGGAAUAUUGCACAAUGGGCGAAAGCCUGAUGCAGCAACGCCGCGUGAGGGACGACGGCCUUCGGGUUGUAAACCUCUUUUAGCAGGGAAGAAGCGAAAGUGACGGUACCUGCAGAAAAAGCGCCGGCUAACUACGUG